UACGUAGGGGGCGAGCGUUACCCGGAAUCACUGGGCGUAAAGGGCGCGUAGGCGGCCUGGUAAGUCAGGGGUGAAAUCCCACGGCUCAACCGUGGAAUUGCCUUUGAAACUGCUGGGCUUGGAUCCUGGAGAGGGUGGCGGAAUUCCUGGUGUAGGAGUGAAAUCCGUAGAUAUCGGGAGGAACACCAGAGGCGAAGGCGGCCACCUGGGCCAAGACUGACGCUGAGGUGCGAAAGCGUGGGGAGCAAACAGG
rnacentral:rRNA from 1 species